rnacentral:rRNA from 1 species
GACGAACGCUGGCGGUGUGCUUCACACAUGCAAGUCGAACGAGGUAGCAAUACCUAGUGGCGGACGGGUGAGUAACGCGUGGGAAUCUGCCCAAGGGUGGGAAUAACUAGCCGAAAGGUUAGCUAAUACCGCAUACGUUUCCGGAACUUCGGUUUCGGAAAGAAAGCAAUACCGUGGGUAUUGCGCUCCUGGAUGGGCGCAUGUCCUAUCAGCUUGUUGGUGAGGUAACGGCUCACCAAGGCUUCGACGGGUAGCUGGUCUGAGAGGACGAUCAGCCACACUGGCACUGCGACACGGGCCAGACUCCUACGGGAGGCAGCAGUAAGGAAUAUUGCGCAAUGGACGAAAGUACUGACGCAGCGACGCCGCGUGGGGGAGUGAA